GACGAACGCUGGCGGCGUGCUUAACACAUGCAAGUCGAACGAUGACGACCGAGCUUGCUCGGUCUGAUUAGUGGCGAACGGGUGAGUAACACGUGAGCAACCUGCCCUUCACUCUGGGAUAACCUCGGGAAAUCGGGGCUAAUACCGGAUAUGAGCUCCUGUCGCAUGGCGGGGGUUGGAAAGUUUUUCGGUGUAGGAUGGGCUCGCGGCCUAUCAGUUUGUUGGUGAGGUAGUGGCUCACCAAGGCGAUGACGGGUAGCCGGCCUGAGAGGGCGACCGGCCACACUGGGACUGAGACACGGCCCAGACUCCUACGGGAGGCAGCAGUGGGGAAUAUUGCACAAUGGGCGAAAGCCUGAUGCAGCGACGCCGCGUGAGGGAUGACGGCCUUCGGGUUGUAAACCUCUUUCAGCAGGGAAGAAGCGAAAGUGACGGUACCUGCAGAAGAAGCGCCGGCUAACUACGUG
rnacentral:rRNA from 1 species